UUUUUUUUUAAAGGCCUGGUACAGCAUGUUUGAUCUCUUGCCAGGUAGCCUAGCAGGAAAACUCUGUUCAGUUAUGCAAGAAGCACAGAUUUGAUCCCUAACUCCUGUUACCAUGCUCCUAGGAAUACAUGGUUACAAAAAUAAAAGCAUUAGCCUGCAGCCAUACUGCUGUGUGCUGUGCUCUCCUCAGAUCUCACACGUUCAGUGAGGUCAGCCCUGCUCAGGACUCACAGCGCUGGGGUGCUGUGAGGAUGUGGGCAGGAGACACGGACUAAAAGAAUGUGUGGGAAACACUGUCCUCAUCUGUGCUCCAUGCCAGGGAGUUUUUACCCUCUUCUCUAUUUUUUUGCUACCUUUUUUCUCCUCAUAUUACUAUUAUUUCAUAAACAUGCUUUGUUUUCUUUUUUUCUCAAAGUCAGCAAAGGCAGUUACUGUGAGUAUGCAAAUUUCUGUGGAUGCAAUGCUAAGAAUGGCAUUUUGGAAUUCAUAGCUAAAAGUCUUCCCAGCGACACUUAGGAUGGAGACCUUUGCAGUCCAGCCUUCCCUUACAGACUGGUUCAAGGUGCAUCAAUAUGAGACAUGAGUUGGGUGCAGCUGUAAAAAAAGCACUGCCUGAGAAGCUGCCACAGCCCAAGCCCUGCGUGAAACAUUGCAGCAUGGUGUGCCCUGGAGAACUUACGGUCUGAUGGGCAGUGCAGGCACAGGAGUCAGAAGGGCUCUGGCACUCAUGAAGAGUAAGUUAUGCAAUGCUGGCGAGUGAUGUUUAAAGCUGUGAUUCCAGGGCUGAGGAAGAGGCUUGGAUGAUAGGGAAGAAAAUGUAGAACCAAAAGGGGUUGAGGAGGGGAAUUUGACAAGAGUGGCAGAGAAGGCAAAAAGGGGCAGAUUACAGAAUCACAGCAUCACAGAAUGCUUUGGGUUGGAAGGGACCUUAAAGACCAUCUAGUUCCAGCCCCCCUGCAAGGGGUAGGGACACCCUCCACUAGACCAGAUUGCUCAAAGCCCUGUCCAACCUGACGAAGUCAAAGGCGAAGGAACGGAUCCAUGAGGAUGAUUUGUAUGAGGCCAAGGAGCAGCAGCCUCUCAGUCUCGCAACCAUGACUAAUGUACUGUGCUUAUGCUGUAUGCAAUACUUAGCAUAUUACUUUUGUCUAACUAAACUAACAUGGUUUAGUUAUGUCUCCUAUGAGCAUAUAUUGAUGGUUAGCAUGCACUCAGAGGAGGUGCUCAUUGUCACCAGAAACAGAACAAGGGACAGAUGUUCAAGGAGGAUCCUACCUGUUCUUCCAAGCCAACACUACAAGCAAUACAUCAGCGUCUCAGACCUGAAGCAAAACCUGAGGUCCAAACACUUCUAAAUGUUAGACGAGCUCAACUCUACAUCCAACUGGAAUAGCAAAACACUCCUUAGAUCUGAAAAACUGCAAAAUGAGGGCUGUCUGGAGUAAGAUCUGAUCUGUUUUCUGCCCCUCUCCUUAGGGUGCAAAAGCGACUCGGCUAGCUCUGCCUGAAUGUUUGACAAACACUGUUCCACAGACCACGAAGUAUUUCCACCAUCUUCAAAACACACAACCACAGCAGCACUUUGUAUGCUCCUCACCUUUGUUUUUCACAUUUUCCCUUCAGGUUCUGAGUUUUAUGUUCUUAAAUUUUAGUGUAAAACAUUGUAAUAAAUAAUAAGUAGCAACAUUUUCCAUCCUAAAGAUAUCAAAGAUGGAAAAAUAUUAUUGUUUCCAUUUUUCUAGUGAGGAAAGUGAGGCUUUAAUUACUUGCCCAAGGUGACUUUUCUCAGUAAAAGAUACCGCAGCAAGAGAAAGAGCAAAUUAAUUUAACGUUUUGAAGGUUGGGUUUGUUGCUUUGCUUUUUUUUACUUGAGAAAAAGCACUGUGGUGGGAAAAUGCAGUUUCAGAAAAGUGAAAAUGAGUUCAAACAUAACAUCUAUCUAAUAAUAAUAUCAUAACAUCUAAAAGGGUUGGCUCUUGCACGUGAAUUUGUGGCUGUGACACAUGAGUGAUCAGUUUAUGUACAGAUAAUUGCAAUGAGCCUACAGGAAAAAAGAGUUCUGGAUUCUGGGCAGGGUGGAAGCGCAUGAAUAUUGUGGUGAUGGAAAAGCUAACAGACAGACUAAGCACUCCAGACAGUUAGCCAGAGAGUGGCGUGCAAAAGCACAGACAACCUGAUGUGCCCCGAGCACCUCUGGAUCAGCCAGUUGUUCAGAAAGAGGAUUCUGCAGGCAGCUAAGAGCAAAGCAGAAUGUGCAAAGCCUCUGCACAGCCCGCAAGAAGACUGGUGGAAACAUCUGGCUUCAUUUAUUCAAUGGGCCAAGAGCAAAAGCAGGUCCGACUGGGGGGUGGGGGCACCCAGGUCACUAUCUUGCCACAGCAGAACAAGUGACUGAAAGUGGCACUGCCACCAUGCAUAAACAGCACCUCUCUUCAGCUCCCCCCUCCCAAUUUGUGUUUCCUGUUGGAACUGACUUGGACAAUUGCUCUGGGAAAGCCAGGGGGCAUUUUCCAAACCAGUAGUUAGCACGUUCCCUAACUGCAAAGCCUCUGCCCUGCUGUCAUGCAUGAACUGGCACACCACAAGGCGCUGCUUUUUGCACCCUAUGAAAAAUCUUGUCUUGCUGACUGACCUCCAUCUCAACCUUCCUGUACCUGGGCAACAGUGAGGAUUAGUGAUCCUUUUGUUAAGGGAGAAAGAUGCUCUGUGUGAUUUUGUUCUUGUUGGCUGGAACUUGCCAGUACAAAGCAGCGGCGGGGUGAGCUUGGUGGCCACAGGUGCCAGUUGGCUCCCCCGAGAGCAGCCCUUGCUUAAGCAGGAGGAUCCUGUCCUCGGGACCACUCAAAAUGAGCCAGUGAGAGGUUAUGAAAUGUAGCCAGUAAACUUUGUUCUGGAGAAGAAGAGAAGAAAUGGUGUCCAUUAUGCCACUGGCUGGGAACGGUGUUGCCUGGUCUCCACCAGCCAGUUGCAUGCGCUGAGACAUGCAACCAGCCAGAGGCUAGUGCUUCUGCGGUUGAAUUGAACACUGUGUUCAGCAGCUGCUCUACUGAUUUGCCUCCAGACCCUUUCUGCACUGUUGUUCACAACUACUUGUGCCCGGAUAGAUAGGUCUUGCCUUCACAGGAAAGACAUUUGAUAUAUGACAAGAUUACACAGGAAUUCGCUGUGAUUUACAGCCUCUCACCCACUACCAGGGUCUUCCCGGUGCUUUCUCCAGUCCAGUGCUACCGUAUCACUCCUCAUGUGCAGCUCUCUGUACACCUGCUGCUCCAUCACCUGUCUGCCUGCCUGGCCUGAGGUUCACUGCUUUCCCUUUCUCCAUGUUAGCUCUCUUUUUGCCUUUUAAUGAUGGAUUAUCAAACCUGCUGGCUCCUCUUCCUCAGGGUGGCUGGGAGGGGGACACAGGAAGGGGCUGCGUCAGUCUGCCCUCACUUCUUGCUUUCUCUGAAUUUGAUAAAGGCAUUGAAUUGGAUUUUUACCCAAGCAGCAGCAAGCAUUUGGAGGGCUUUCCGUCAGUGGUAUAUAAAUAAAAGUGGAUCAGAAUAGA